CCGGGACCCGCCUCCUCCAAGCCCCUCCUCUUCGAAACGCUGUUUGCUGAACCAGGUAGUGGUCUUCCACCGGGUUUCCGUAGCCCGUGACGGAUUUCAAAGCGCUACCAAAUCAUGGUCUCUGCACAGGUCCUGAAUUCUUGACGAAUAUUUAUUCCGAUGAAUAUUUAUUGCGAUGAAUGAUUAUCCUCACUCAGUUGGUGCCAAUAUUGGAUAAGGAAGAUGAGACAGAGAAAUUAAAUUACUAGCUCCCAGUCACAAAGGUGGUAAGUAGUGGAGCUGGAGUUGAAUGCACACAGCCUAACUCUGGGAGCUGAGUUCUUCAUCUCUGCACCAUUACGGCUCCCGACUAAGUUGUCAACAUGUCUGUCUCCUGCCCAACACCAUCACAAUUAAUCUCUUGAGAGGAAUAUUCUUUGGGUUCACAGAAGAUGAAAUCUGAACAACUACCAGAGAUAGAUGGAAAAUCUGGAGAAGCCAAGUUAAUAAAGACCUUCCCCUUUUGUCUUCUGUUCUCACUUCCUAAAAAACCUAAUAAGGCCAUGGGUAACCAACCAACCCAGUUUGCAGGUGGGACUUUUUAGUGCUAGAGCCACUCUGUGACUGAUACCAAAAAUGUGGCUCUAGAUUGUAAUAUAAAAGAUAAAGCAGAUUCUGGGGAUUCAGCUUUUGCUUUGGAAAUUCUACUAGGGAAACCAAGGCAUUGUAAGAUGUUGCAGCUGUCUGUGAUUUCAUUGUGUCUAUGUUUUGGUCUUAAAUUUACUAGUGACGUGGGUCUUGUUUGAGGGGGUAUUCUGAUGGGUCUUAUUAACCCAUUGAAUCUUUGAAUAACAAUAGAGACUUCCUUUUCUCUUGGAAUUAAUUCUCUUGGGUAAGUAACUCAUCCUGUUUUGCCUGGAACUUUCCCACUUGUAGCCCUGAAAGUCCUGCAUCCUUGGAAAUCCCCCAGUCUUGGGUAAAUGAGAAAGGUCAUG
rnacentral:lncRNA from 1 species